UUAAGCGACUAAGCGUACACGGUGGAUGCCCUGGCAGUCAGAGGCGAUGAAGGACGUGCUAAUCUGCGAAAAGCGCCGGCGAGGUGAUAUGAACCCUUGACCCGGCGAUGUCCGAAUGGGGAAACCCAGUGCAAUCCGUUGCACUAUCGUUAACUGAAUACAUAGGUUAACGAGGCGAACCGGGGGAACUGAAACAUCUAAGUACCCCGAGGAAAAGAAAUCAACCGAGAUUCCCCCAGUAGCGGCGAGCGAACGGGGAGCAGCCCGGAGUCUGAAUCAGCUUGUGUGUUAGUGGAACGGUCUGGAAAGUCCGACGGUACAGGGUGAUAGUCCCGUACACGAAAGCACACUUGCUGUGAACUCGAAGAGUAGGGCGGGACACGUGGUAUCCUGUCUGAAUAUGGGGGGACCAUCCUCCAAGGCUAAAUACUCCUGACUGACCGAUAGUGAACCAGUACCGUGAGGGAAAGGCGAAAAGAACCCCGGCGAGGGGAGUGAAAAAGAACCUGAAACCGUGUACGUACAAGCAGUGGGAGCCUCUUUAUGGGGUGACUGCGUACCUUUUGUAUAAUGGGUCAGCGACUUAUAUUCUGUAGCAAGGUUAACCGUAUAGGGGAGCCGAAGGGAAACCGAGUCUUAACUGGGCGUUAAGUUGCAGGGUAUAGACCCGAAACCCGGUGAUCUAGCCAUGGGCAGGUUGAAGGUUGGGUAACACUAACUGGAGGACCGAACCGACUAAUGUUGAAAAAUUAGCGGAUGACCUGUGGCUGGGGGUGAAAGGCCAAUCAAACCGGGAGAUAGCUGGUUCUCCCCGAAAGCUAUUUAGGUAGCGCCUCGUGAACUCAUCUUCGGGGGUAGAGCACUGUUUCGGCUAGGGGGCCAUCCCGGCUUACCAACCCGAUGCAAACUACGAAUACCGAAGAAUGUUAUCACGGGAGACACACGGCGGGUGCUAACGUCCGUCGUGAAGAGGGAAACAACCCAGACCGCCAGCUAAGGUCCCAAAGUCAUGGUUAAGUGGGAAACGAUGUGGGAAGGCACAGACAGCCAGGAUGUUGGCUUAGAAGCAGCCAUCAUUUAAAGAAAGCGUAAUAGCUCACUGGUCGAGUCGGCCUGCGCGGAAGAUGUAACGGGGCUAAACCAUGCACCGAAGCUGCGGCAGCGACACUAUGUGUUGUUGGGUAGGGGAGCGUUCUGUAAGCCGUUGAAGGUGUGCUGUGAGGCAUGCUGGAGGUAUCAGAAGUGCGAAUGCUGACAUAAGUAACGAUAAAGCGGGUGAAAAGCCCGCUCGCCGGAAGACCAAGGGUUCCUGUCCAACGUUAAUCGGGGCAGGGUGAGUCGACCCCUAAGGCGAGGCCGAAAGGCGUAGUCGAUGGGAAACAGGUUAAUAUUCCUGUACUUGGUGUUACUGCGAAGGGGGGACGGAGAAGGCUAUGUCAGCCGGGCGACGGUUGUCCCGGUUUAAGCAUGUAGGCGGAGGUUCCAGGUAAAUCCGGUACCUUUUAACGCUGAGGUGUGAUGACGAGGCACUACGGUGCUGAAGUGAUAAAUGCCCUGCUUCCAGGAAAAGCCUCUAAGCAUCAGGUAACACGAAAUCGUACCCCAAACCGACACAGGUGGUCAGGUAGAGAAUACCAAGGCGCUUGAGAGAACUCGGGUGAAGGAACUAGGCAAAAUGGUGCCGUAACUUCGGGAGAAGGCACGCUGAUGUGUAGGUGAAGCCCCUGCGGGCGGAGCUGAAAUCAGUCGAAGAUACCAGCUGGCUGCAACUGUUUAUUAAAAACACAGCACUGUGCAAACACGAAAGUGGACGUAUACGGUGUGACGCCUGCCCGGUGCCGGAAGGUUAAUUGAUGGGGUUAGCGGCAACGCGAAGCUCUUGAUCGAAGCCCCGGUAAACGGCGGCCGUAACUAUAACGGUCCUAAGGUAGCGAAAUUCCUUGUCGGGUAAGUUCCGACCUGCACGAAUGGCGUAAUGAUGGCCAGGCUGUCUCCACCCGAGACUCAGUGAAAUUGAACUCGCUGUGAAGAUGCAGUGUACCCGCGGCAAGACGGAAAGACCCCGUGAACCUUUACUAUAGCUUGACACUGAACACUGGUCCUUGAUGUGUAGGAUAGGUGGGAGGCUUUGAAGCGUGGACGCCAGUCUGCGUGGAGCCAACCUUGAAAUACCACCCUUUAAUGGCUGGUGUUCUAACGUAGACCCGUAAUCCGGGUUGCGGACAGUGUCUGGUGGGUAGUUUGACUGGGGCGGUCUCCUCCCAAAGAGUAACGGAGGAGCACGAAGGUUGGCUAAUCCUGGUCGGACAUCAGGAGGUUAGUGCAAUGGCAUAAGCCAGCUUGACUGCGAGCGUGACGGCGCGAGCAGGUGCGAAAGCAGGUCAUAGUGAUCCGGUGGUUCUGAAUGGAAGGGCCAUCGCUCAACGGAUAAAAGGUACUCCGGGGAUAACAGGCUGAUACCGCCCAAGAGUUCAUAUCGACGGCGGUGUUUGGCACCUCGAUGUCGGCUCAUCACAUCCUGGGGCUGAAGUAGGUCCCAAGGGUAUGGCUGUUCGCCAUUUAAAGUGGUACGCGAGCUGGGUUUAGAACGUCGUGAGACAGUUCGGUCCCUAUCUGCCGUGGGCGCUGGAGAAUUGAGGGGGGCUGCUCCUAGUACGAGAGGACCGGAGUGGACGCAUCACUGGUGUUCGGGUUGUCAUGCCAAUGGCACUGCCCGGUAGCUAAAUGCGGAAGAGAUAAGUGCUGAAAGCAUCUAAGCACGAAACUUGCCCCGAGAUGAGUUCUCCCUGAGACUUUAAGUCUCCUGAAGGAACGUUGAAGACGACGACGUUGAUAGGUCGGGUGUGUAAGCGCAGCGAUGCGUUGAGCUAACCGAUACUAAUGAACCGUGAGGCUUAACCU
rnacentral:rRNA from 1 species